CACAGCCUGGGGUUUCCAGGGAGCACAGGGACCCCCUAAAUAGACCUUGCAGAGCACCGGGUGGACGUGAGGAGCUGUAGGCUGGGCCCUGGCUAUUGGGGAAUUAAUUUCUCCAUGAUUCCCCCCAUCCUUUUCCAGGAUUCCCAACCCUCAUAGAACAGCCAAGGAGCGGGUCACCGGCUGCCUCGUUAAAGUUGAAUUUCAGCAACAUCUAUCAAGGUACCUUGCUGCAAAUGCCAAACACUUGGAUGAAAGCCUGGAUGAAGUCUCCUCCAGCUACCCUGGGAAGUGCUCUCUGGCCUAUGGUAACCUACAGGUGGAACUUGAGGUGUGAUGUGCCACCUGGGCUUGGUAAACAGCCCCUCCUUAUGUGUAUAUACCACAUUUUCUAUAUCCACACAUGCAGGUGGACAUUUAGACUGCUUCCUCAUCUUGGCUAUUGUGAAUAACAUUGCAGUGGAAUAUUACUCAGCCACAAAAAAGAAGGCAAUCUUUUCACAUUCAACAAAAUAAAUGAACCUUGAGAUCAUUAUGCUGAGUGAAACAAACCAAUAACAGAAAGACAAAUACUUCAUGAUCUCACUUAUAUGAGGCAUCUAAAGCAGUUAAACCCACAGAAGCAGAAUGUGGAGUGGUGGUUACCAGGACCUGGGAGGAGGGGGAAAUGGAGAGUUACUAUUCAAGGAGAAUUGAUGUUCAUAGAGUCAGUCAUGCAAGAUGAGAGAGUUCCAGAGACGUAGAUCAUUGUGCUUAGUGUUAAUGAUAAUGUAUUGUACACAUAAAAUUUUGGUGAAGAGGGCAGAUUUCAUGUUAUGUGUGUUUUUCAUAAUAAAAUAGUUUCUAAAGGAAUUAAAACUAUCCCACACUAUA